GAUGAAUGCUGGCGGUGCGCCUAAUACAUGCAAGUCGAGCGUGAUCAUACUUAAGUUUACUUGAGUAUGUGAAAGCGGCGGACGAGCGAGUAACACGUAAGAAAUUGCCCCGUACUCAGGGAUAACCCGGUGAAAGCCGGGCUAAUACCGGAUGGUCCCGCAAGGGUAAAGAUUUAUCGGUACGGGAGAUGCUUGCGGCCUAUCAGCUAGUUGGUGAGGUAACUGCUCACCAAGGCUAUGACGGGUAACUGGUCUGAGAGGAUGAUCAGUCGCGAUGGGACUGAGACACGGUCCAUACUCCUACGGGAGGCAGCAGUAAGGAAUAUUUCGCAAUGGGCGAAAGCCUGACGGAGCGACACCGCGUGGAGGAUGACGGCUCUAUGAGUUGUAAACUCCUUUUCUGGGGGAAGAAGAUCUGACGGUACCCCAGGAAUAAGCACCGGCUAAUUACG
rnacentral:rRNA from 1 species